CGUGCUAUACAGCAGUCGAGCGGACCGAACGAGAGCUUGCUCUUGUUCGGUCAGCGGCGGACGGGUGAGUAACACGUGGGCAACCUGCCCGCAAGACCGGGAUAACUCCGGGAAACCGGAGCUAAUACCGGAUAACACCAAAGACCGCAUGGUCUUUGGUUGAAAGGCGGCUUCGGCUGUCACUUGCGGAUGGGCCCGCGGCGCAUUAGCUAGUUGGUGAGGUAACGGCUCACCAAGGCGACGAUGCGUAGCCGGCCUGAGAGGGUGACCGGCCACACUGGGACUGAGACACGGCCCAGACUCCUACGGGAGGCAGCAGUAGGGAAUCUUCCGCAAUGGACGAAAGUCUGACGGAGCGACGCCGCGUGAGCGAAGAAGGCCUUCGGGUCGUAAAGCUCUGUUGUGAGGGACGAAGGAGCGCCGUUUGAAUAAGGCGGCGCGGUGACGGUACCUCACGAGAAAGCCCCGGCUAACUACGUGCCAGCAGCCGCGGUAAUACGUAGGGGGCGAGCGUUGUCCGGAAUUAUUGGGCGUAAAGCGCGCGCAGGCGGUCCUUUAAGUCUGAUGUGAAAGCCCACGGCUCAACCGUGGAGGGUCAUUGGAAACUGGGGGACUUGAGUGCAGGAGAGGAGAGCGGAAUUCCACGUGUAGCGGUGAAAUGCGUAGAGAUGUGGAGGAACACCAGUGGCGAAGGCGGCUCUCUGGCCUGUAACUGACGCUGAGGCGCGAAAGCGUGGGGAGCAAACAGGAUUAGAUACCCUGGUAGUCCACGCCGUAAACGAUGAGUGCUAAGUGUUAGAGGGGUCACACCCUUUAGUGCUGCAGCUAACGCGAUAAGCACUCCGCCUGGGGAGUACGGCCGCAAGGCUGAACUCAAGGAAUUGACGGGGGCCGCACAGCGUGAGCAUGUGU
rnacentral:rRNA from 1 species